UACGGAGGGUGCAAGCGUUGUCCGGAUUUAUUGGGUUUAAAGGGAGCGUAGGUGGCCUUAUAAGUCAGUGGUGAAAUCUCUCGGCUUAACUGAGAAAUUGCCAUUGAUACUGUAGGGCUUGAGUACAGUUGCUGUGGGCGGAAUAUGACAUGUAGUGGUGAAAUACAUAGAGAUGUCAUAGAACACCGAUUGCGAAGGCAGCUCACAAAACUGUAACUGACACUGAGGCUCGAAAGUGCGGGGAUCAAACAGG
rnacentral:rRNA from 1 species